rnacentral:rRNA from 1 species
UACAGAGGUCUCGAGCGUUGUUCGGAUUCAUUGGGCAUAAAGGGUGCGUAGGUGGCUUGGUCAGUCGGAUGUGAAAUCCCGGGGCUCAACCCCGGAACUGCAUUCGAUACUGCCAGGCUGGAGUACUGGAGAGGAGAUUGGAAUUUACGGUGUAGCAGUGAAAUGCGUAGAUAUCGUAAGGAAGACCAGUGGCGAAGGCGGAUCUCUGGACAGUUACUGACACUGAGGCACGAAAGCCAGGGGAGCAAACGGG